rnacentral:lncRNA from 1 species
AUAUCAGAAACUGAAGAAGUUAAACCAUCACCACUUCCACAGCCACCUUGUCUCAAGCAUUCAAUCACAUUCUAAGAUAUCUUUAUUGAAAUUAAGUGUGACUACUUUACCAAAAGACUCUAGAAUGGACCAAUCAAUGAAACUGUCGGUAUCUCCACAACUUUUCAAUUAAAUAGAAAGUUUCAAUCAAACAGGAUACUGAGUGUGCCUACUGCUCCUCAAGACAAUGGAUAAUGGGAGUUAUCAAACUUGCGAUAACUACAAGUUUUUUCAAUAAGUAAAAAGAUUGUAUGACUUCGGUAUCCGCAAUAUGGUAUCGUGCAUUGGUUCUUAUCUUAGAAUGGCUCCCUUCCGUUUAGGUAAAAAUAAGAAAGGUUAUCAGUUCAAGCAAAGAUGACAAUGAUCAUUAUGGAGCCGAUCAUGAUGACGAAUACGUUAAUGCAUAUAAUAAUAAAUAAAAUGAUUUUACUUGUAUUUUAGACUUAUAAAUAAAAAAUUAUCUGUUUAAUA